rnacentral:rRNA from 1 species
GACGAACGCUGGCGGCGUGCCUAAUACAUGCAAGUAGAACGCUGAAGGAGGAGCUUGCUUCUCCGGAUGAGUUGCGAACGGGUGAGUAACGCGUAGGUAACCUGCCUGGUAGCGGGGGAUAACUAUUGGAAACGAUAGCUAAUACCGCAUAAGAGUAGAUGUUGCAUGACAUUUGCUUAAAAGGUGCAAUUGCAUCACUACCAGAUGGAUCUGCGUUGUAUUAGCUAGUUGGUGGGGUAACGGCUCACCAAGGCGACGAUACAUAGCCGACCUGAGAGGGUGAUCGGCCACACUGGGACUGAGACACGGCCCAGACUCCUACGGGAGGCAGCAGUAGGGAAUCUUCGGCAAUGGACGGAAGUCUGACCGAGCAACGCCGCGUGAGUGAAGAAGGUUUUCGGAUCGUAAAGCUCUGUUGUAAGAGAAGAACGAGUGUGAGAGUGGAAAGUUCACACUGUGACGGUAUCUACCAGAAA